ACCUUUGGAGGUAGAGAAAGAGAAAAUUA
rnacentral:piRNA from 1 species